rnacentral:rRNA from 1 species
UACGGAGGGUGCGAGCGUUGUCCGGAAUCACUGGGCGUAAAGGGCGCGUAGGUGGCCCGUUAAGUGGCUGGUGAAAUCCCGCGGCUCAACUGCGGGGCUGCCGGUCAUACUGGCGAGCUAGAGCACGGUAGGGGCAGAUGGAAUUCCCGGCGUAGCGGUGGAAUGCGUAGAGAUCGGGAAGAAUACCAGUGGCGAAGGCGUUCUGCUGGGCCGUUGCUGACACUGAGGCGCGACAGCGUGGGGAGCAAACAGG